rnacentral:lncRNA from 1 species
GGAAGCUGUUCGAUGGACAGAGAUGAUUCGGGCAUCACGAGAAAAUCCAGCCAUGCAGGAAAAAAAAAGGUCAAGCAUUUGGCAGUUUUUCAGCCGACUUUUCAGCUCCUCAAGUAACACGACUAAGAAGCCUGAACCACCUGUUAAUCUGAAGUACAAUGCACCCACGUCUCAUGUUACUCCGUCCGUCAAGAAAAGAAGCAGCACCUUAUCUCAGCUCCCUGGGGAUAAGUCCAAAGCCUUUGAUUUCCUUAGUGAAGAGUAAGUCUUUUCCAAAUUAAUCAUUAUAUUC